UACGGAGGGGGCUAGCGUUGUUCGGAAUUACUGGGCGUAAAGCGCACGUAGGCGGCUUUGUAAGUUAGAGGUGAAAGCCCGGAGCUCAACUCCGGAAUUGCCUUUAAGACUGCAUCGCUCGAAUCAUGGAGAGGUGAGUGGAAUUCCGAGUGUAGAGGUGAAAUUCGUAGAUAUUCGGAAGAACACCAGUGGCGAAGGCGACUCACUGGACAUGUAUCGACGCUGAGGUGCGAAAGCGUGGGGAGCAAACAGG
rnacentral:rRNA from 1 species